GACUGAGAGGCUCUCUUGAGAACCACGUGGGUACCCCCUUUACUGAUACCUGAUCUUGAUUACCUAGACCAUGAUGAGUUGAUGCCAGAGGAAGUAAUCCAGGUUGGCGUACACCCGAAAAAAAGAUGGAAAUCAGGCAGUACACGCACAGUUCUGAAAACCACUCUGGCUCAUCGUGACUCCUUUACCCGGUGCACCGGGUUACUAAUGUGUUUGGUCAUGAAAGGAAAGCUACUGAUAUAGCAUGUCCAAAAGUAUGGGAAGGCAGACAAGAGCACAUCGGAAGUCAGCUAUAUCAACUACACGACAGAUGCUUGCUACACUCGCCUAGCCUGAUCAAGGAGUCCAGAGGAAGGAGAAACAAGCUUGGCUCAAGGAUUUUAACUAUGCUGUAUUUUGCCCUCGGAACAUGAAAUACGAUCAUUUCAAUAAGUUUUGCUUGAUUAAAUAUGAUGUUUCUAAAUUAACAAAGGUUGAAUGGU